rnacentral:rRNA from 1 species
GGACAGAAAGACCCUAUGAAGCUUUACUGUAACUUGAGAUUGAAAUUGGACUUUAUUCGCGCAGUAUAGGUGGGAGGCAUUGAAAAUAUUCUUGCGGGAAUAUUGGAGCCAUCAGUGAGAUACCACUCUUGUAAUGUUAGAUUUCUAACUUUGUAUCAUUAUCUGGUCAAAGAACAGUUUCAGGCGGGCAGUUUGACUGGGGCGGUCGCCUCCCAAACGGUAACGGAGGCGCACAAAGGUUUCCUCUGAACGGGUAGAAAUCGUAUCUAGAGUGUAAAGGCAUAAGGAAGCUUGACUGUGAGACCUACAAGUCGAGCAGGGACGAAAGUCGGUCUUAGUGAUCUGACGGUGCUGAGUGGAAAGGCCGUCACUCAACGGAUAAAAGUUACUCUAGGGAUAACAGGCUGA